CUUUAAAAUAAAUGGGGGAAUGAUUUUGACGAAAUUAAAACUUUAAAACUUAAACCUUGAAAACAAACUUAAAGCAAAACAGAUUGUGAUUAAAUAGAAUGGUGAGAAGCUAGUUAGAGGGUUCUUUAUCCACACAUGAACAUAUGCAUAUAAUUUGAUUCCCAGUUAUGACUUCAACAAACAAUGAAUGACAAUGCUUCAAGUUAAUUAGGUUCGCUUAAAUUAACUUUCAGAUUUCCCUAGAUUCAUUGGAUUGAAUGGGAUACGCAUUACAACCAAAUUAUUCCUCAUCAAAGCCCCUAACUAUGGAAUACGCAUGAUAGAGACAUUCAACAAAGAUCAUUAAGUUCAACGGAAAUCAUAAACAUCGACUAGGCAUUCAUAACUAUGGAAUACGCAUGUUAAUCCAACCUAGGGUUUACUUAAACACAAUCGUGACUAGCGAUCUUUACUACUCAUGAAUAUAAGUUCAUAACGAUUAGGUGAAAUUCCCUUAUAUCCUAGCAUCAAGUUUAGGCAUGCAAAUUAAGUGUCGACCCUCAACCCACAUACAUAAACAAGUUCUUAAUCAAAACAGAAAAGUAAACCACAUCUAAAGUUCAUGAAUUCAUAACUGGAGUAAAUCAAAUCAUAACCAACAUAUGUCCAUGGCUUCAAAUUCGCCUCUAACUAAAAAGAAAUUAGUUCCACAUGUUUAACAUAAUUGAAAAGCAAGUUAAAUUAAACAUGAAAACAGAAACAAGAGAAGAAAAAACUCUUAAAACUCCCAAAGAUGCAGAUGGCUUGCGCACAAGGCCCUCAUUCAUCAAUGGAAUGCACGACAAGGCUCUCCUUCUUCUCCAAAAGGUGCGGCAGAGAUGUGUAGAAUGCACGACAAGGCUCUCCUUCUUCUCCAAAAGGUGCGGCAGAGAUGUGUAUGGAUGUAGGAUGGGGUUUUGUGAUGUAGAAUGGUGAUUAGGGUUGCGGCAAGGUGUGUUUGAAUGGUGUGAAGGGGUGGUGAUGAAUUUAGGCUUAAAAUACAUAUAUAUAGGCACCACAAACCCUAAAGAAAUCAGGUUAGACAAUGGGCUAGGGUUUAGGUGCGGCUAGGGUUAGAGAUGGGCCUUCUAGAAUGCCUUGCAAGGCAAGGAAAUAGGUGUUCUAGAAGGCUAGGUGCGGCUGAUUAGUGGGCUAGGGUUAGGGUUUGUAGAUAGGGCUUCUAGAAAGCCCAAAACCAAGAAUAGAAACUCUCGAAAAUGGAAACCUCUAAGAAUAGAAACUUCCAACUUUAGAAACUUUGGUUGCCAAUUCCGACUUCUUUGUUCUUCACUUUCAUUUCUUCAUUUCUUAAGCUCCUUUGACCUUCAAACUCGUCCAUUCCUUGUGCUCCAUAAGCAUACACUCCAUUCCAGCUCAAUUUUGCUCUCAAAUGCUCCAAAUUGCAUCAUUUUAUGUAAUAUGCUCUUAAAACCUGAAAACACAUGAAACUAACUUAAAAGACUACUUUAAACUAAGAAAACAUAACUAAAAUGCAUAAGAACUAGCUAACUAAGGCGCAUAAAUAUGCUCCUAUCAAAUUCCCCCACACUUAGCUUUUGCUAGUCCUCGAGCAAAAUAAAGAAUUAAAGAAAAACAAAACGAACAAAACAAACAAAACAGUAAACCUUCCAACAUUUACCUCAGGGAUUUCCAAUACACAUGACAUGUUAAAAAUCAUCAUUCCCACAGAUUUUAGUCAUCUUUACACUUAAGCACACACUUAAUCAUAGUCACCACGUACUAGUUCACAUUUAACCAAUUAAAACAUGAUUUUGAACGUAGUAACAUGCCUUAGAGAAUUUGCUCAAUUCCUUACUAGAUAUGCACUCCAUGUUCACACAGAUUUUCUGACUACACACCCUAUACUAGUUAUAUGUGAGAAGAGUGAUGUAAAUAUAAAAACGAAUGCUCACAUAUGUUAUAACAAGGAAAGCUUUUUCUGAAUUUAAUAAGCAUGUAUAUGAUCUCAUGAAAGGAAUGCUACUACUUAGACGCGAGAACCAGUGACACCAUAUGCUCAUACCAAUCCCAAACUCCACAAAUUGAAAUACACAACACUCAAGAUAGAAGUUAAGGGUUGUAACGGGGCUUGGGGUAUUGGCUAACAAAGAAAGGUGAAGGGUAAACAAACGUUCUUAAAACAAUAGUAAGCAAAGCAAUGAAAUUGACUCUUCGAAUUCACUUUUGAAUGCAAAAAUCAACUUUUAAACUCAAAGGGGAAAUUCAUGCAACUCUUGGGGUCAAAUUCAAUGUUUUGGACCCCUUCUUCAACAACCAACACCUUAGAGCUCAUUUCCAUGCUCUUUCAACUCUUUUUCACACUUUUCUCAACAUUUUUCUUUUUUUUUCUUCUUUUUUCUACGAAUUUUCUUUCUUUUUUUUUUCUCGUGCCUCAAAAUAGACUUUGGCACAUCCACCUAACAAAAAUCCUUCCCCCACACUUGUUUUCUGCACACACCUACGUAUAACUUGGUCAGGGCAAUAUUUCCAUAAAUACGGGUCAUCCCACACAUAAAACCGUGCCUCUUUCUUCAAUUUAUCACCUUGGUGUUUAAGUAAUUCACUAGGAACAUGUUUAGACACCAAAUAAUUCACCAAAUCAGCAUACCCCGGUUCACUUACCUUGACGGACAUCAGUUGCUCAUCUGGGAAUGUCUCCAUGAUAGGUACGGCAUCCUCCUCAUGUACCAUACGGCUCAAGUGGUCAGCCACCACGUUUUCACUUCCCUUAUUGUCCCGGAUUUCGAUAUCGAACUCUUGGAGAAGAAGCAUCCAACGAAUGAGUCGUGGUUUAGCCUCCUUCUUGGUGAACAAAUAAUUCAAUGCUGCAUGGUCAGUAUAAAUAAUAACUUUAGCACCAAGCAAAUAAGAACGGAAUUUAUCUAAAGCAAAUACAACAGCUAGAAGUUCUUUUUCAGUGGUGGAAUAAUUCAAUUGUGCAUCAUUUAAAGUCCGAGAGGCAUAAUAGAUAGCAUGCGGCCUCUUGUCCUUCCUUUGCCCCAAAACAGCUCCUAAUGCAUAAUCGGAAGCGUCGCACAUAAGCUCAAAAGGAAGGCUCCAAUCCGGUGGAACUAUGAUAGGGGCCGAAGUUAGCAUGUCCUUUAGGUGUGAUUGAACGCCUUCUCUCACACUCCUUGUUGAAGUCAAACGCCACAUCUUUCUGGAGGAGACGGCAAAGAGGGUUUGAGAUCUUGGAGAAGUCCUUGAUAAAUCGCCUAUAAAAUCCUGCAUGACCAAGAAACGAACGAACCUCUCGAACCGAAGUAGGAGAGGGUAAGUAGCGUACAAGAUCUAUUUUCGAUUUAUCCACUUCAAUUCCUCUUUCUGAAACAAUAUGCCCUAGAACUAUGCCUUGUCUAACCAUAAAGUGACAUUUUUCCCAAUUAAGCACAAGGUUAGUUUCUACACAUCGUUUCAGAAUUAUUGUGAGAUUUUCCAAACAUCCAUCAAAUGAAUCACCAAACACACUGAAAUCAUCCAUAAAUACCUCAAUAAUCUUUUCCACAAAAUCUGAAAAGAUACUUACCAUACACCUUUGAAAUGUGGCCGGAGCAUUGCAUAACCCAAAAGGCAUGCGACGAUAAGCAAAGGUACCAAAGGGGCAUGUGAAAGUUGUCUUUUCUUGGUCAUCCGGCGCUAUGACAAUCUGAUUAUAUCCAGAAUAACCAUCAAGGAAACAAUAAAAAGAAUGACCGGCUAACCUUUCAAGCAUUUGAUCAAUGAACGGCAAAGGGAAGUGGUCCUUCCUUGUGGUGGCGUUGAGCUUCCUAUAAUCAAUGCACACUCGCCAACCUGUUUGGAUACGGGUUGGCACAAGCUCAUUCUCGGCAUUCUUCACCACGGUCACUCUGGACUUCUUUGGAACACAUUGCACCGGUGACACCCAACGACUAUCAGAGAUCGGAUAAAUCACUCCACAAUCAAGAAGUUUGAUAAUCUCCUUUUUCACAACUUCCAUCAUUGGAGGGUUGAGACGGCGCUGAGCCUCUCGAGUUGGUUUAGCCCCCUCCUCUAGAAGUAUGCGAUGCAUGCACGUAGUUGGGCUAAUUCCCCUAAUAUCGGCCAAAGUCCACCCAAUGGCCGUCUUGUGCUCUUUCAACACUCGGAUCAACUUCUCCUCCUCUAUGGCCGUGAGUGAUGAAGAGACAAUGACGGGCAAUGUCUCGUUGUCUCCCAGAAAAACGUACUUUAAAUGAUCGGGUAAACGGUUUAAGCUCAAGUACGGGUGCCUGAAUCACUGAGGGUAACAUCUUAUUAGUGGAAACUGGAAUUGAAAUUGGGUUAGAAGGCUUACCAUGGUGUUGAGGGAGUGACUCAAGGGCAGCCACUAUCUCGGCCUCAUCCUCACUUCUAGGCACGGCAACACCAUUUUUGUGCCCAAUUCCUUGUGCAAUUGUCGUUUCAAGUGUAUCCCUCUCCAAACAAUCGAGGAAAUCCUGCGCCAAAUCAUCAAUUAUAUCAAUAGAAAAGCAAGAAUGAUCGUCCUUAGGAAAUUUAAUACUUUCAGAAAGAUUAAAAUCAAUGACUUCCCCAUCAAAUUCCAUCGUUAAAGUUCCUUUAAACACAUCUAUCUUGGUGCGGGCUGUUUUCAUGAAGGGCCUCCCUAAUAGAAUCGGCAAUGGGGUGGAAUGGGGUGAAUCCUCCAUGUCAAGCACGUAGAAAUCCGCUGGAAAAAUCAAGUUACCAACCUGCACCAAAACAUCUUCCAAAACACCCUUGGAUAUGCAUUAGAACGAUCGGCUAAUUGAAUUAUCACAUCAUCAUUUUUAAGCUCACCUAAGUUCAUAGAUGCAUAAAUCGAGUAUGGCAUAACAUUAAUCGAAGCCCCUAAGUCUAACAUGCAGUGUUCAAACUUAGUAUUACCAAUAACGCAUGGAAUUGUAAAACUACCCGGAUCUUUGCAUUUAGGAGGUAAUUUCCUUUGUAACACAGCAGAGACGUUUUCACUUACCUGGACCACCUCUUUGUUCGAAAUCCUUCUCCUUGUUGUACAAAGUUCUUUUAAGAACUUAGCAUACCUCGGGACUUGCUUAAUCGCAUCAAGGAGCGGGAUAUUGACUUGAACUUUCCGAAAGGUCUCUAGAAUGUCCUUCUCGGCUUCUUCCUUCUUUGAUUGCCUAAACCUGCCAGGAAAGGGCACAUUCAGUGGAAUAGAACUAGAAAAAGUCGAAUUUGGACUUACCUUGGUGGUUGAGGACGAUUUAGGAGGGUUAGAGGGUGGCGGCAAGGAUUGGUCAUCCUUGGCCGUGGGUUUUGCUCUUUGUGCCUCCUCUUGCAUCAACUUGUCCUCCUCGUCUUGACUUGAUUUGGAUGUAUUUGAGUCCGCUCCAACCUGUUUACCACUUCUCAACAUGAUGGCCUUAGCGGUUUCAAAUCCUCCCUUCGGGUUCACAACGGUUGAACUAAGCAAUCUGCCUUGUUCUCUGAUUUGCCCCAUAAACUCUGCAAUUUGACCCAUCUGCUUCUCCAAGUUGUCCACCCGUUUGUCUUGGAUUUGUCUCUCCUUAUUUUGAGUUUGUACUUCCUGCGUCAAAGUAGUAAGUAACUUAACAACUUGAUCAUUAUCCAAAGACGUACCUGAGGUUGGUGGGGUGGUUUGCACUUGGUUUUGAUUGGGGACGAAUGGCUUUGUAUAAAAGCCCGGUGGUUGCUGCCUAAAUCCUCCUUGUUGUUGGGGUUGUUGAGGAUCCCGCCAUUUGAAAUUCGGAUGGUCCCUCUACCCCGGAUUGUAGGAAUUAGAGUAUGGAUCAUGGCGUGGUUGAUUUUGGUUCCCAAAACCCACGGCAUUGGCAGCUUCCCAACCCCCAUUCUCAAUCAAUUGAGGGCAUUGAUCAUUGGCAUGUCCUUGCAUCGAGCACACGCCACACACACUUGGUCCAUGAAUCUUCAUUCCCUCGGCUAACUGAGAAACAAUAGAAGUAAGGUUAGCUAAUUGGGAUUGAAUCUCGGGCAUAGAACUUACCUCAUUCACUUGUGGCCGUGGGGGGUCUCUUUGUCCAACACCUUCGUAUUGUUGUGCAUUAUGUGCUCGGUUGGCAAUUAGAACUUUUGCAGCCCCCGGAGUUUUAUCCACCAACGCACCUCCCGCCGAGGCAUCAAGCAUUUGGCGUUCCAUGGGAAGGAGUCCUUCGUAGAAGUAUUGAAUGAGCAGCUCCUCCUUCAUUUGAUGCUGUGGACAAGAAGCAACAAGUGAUUUAAAACGUUCAUAAUAAGAAGGAAACGAUUCACCUUGAUUUUGUUGGAUGCCACUAAUCCGUUUCCUCAAGAGAAUGACUCUUGAAGUUGGGAAAAACUUCUCCAAGAAAGCUCUUUUCAUACUAUCCCAAGAUGUAACCGUUCCGGGUGCUAACUCGUAAAGCCAAUCCUUCGCCUUUUCCAAAAGUGAGAAUGGAAAGGCCUUCAUCAUCAGAAUACUCCCGUCAACAUUGAUGGGUGUCAUGCUCGAACAAACAACCUCGAACUCCUUGAGAUGCUUGUUGGGAUCUUCCAUGGAAAGCCCAUGGUAUUUCGGAAUGUGGUGCAAUAAGCUUGACUUCAGCUCGAAUUCGUCGGUCUUGCCUUGGGCAGCCGCGGGGUAUUGAAUGCAUAAUGGUGCGGCAUUGGUCAACCCCGAGGCCGAAAGCUCUUUAAUGGUCCGAUUGUCCGCGGCCAUAACUUCUUCUUCCACUUCUUCAAACUCAGAUUCGGCCUCUGAACUUGAACUAGGUUCACUAGGUUCGGGAUGCCUCCUCUUUCUUCUCAAAUCACGUUCAAAAUCGUCGUUAAAGUCCAAGAUAUUUGCAUGCACAGUUUGAGAACUCCGCGUCAUGCACUAGUACCUAAACCAAGAAAAACAAACAAAAAUCAGAAAACUAGGUAAAUUAAAUCAAGACACACGGCAAAAACACAAGGGAUUAGCAAUUUUGCUAAUCCCCGGCAACGGCGCCAAAAUUUGAUGUGAAAAUUAACUUGACACACAAAUUAAACCCUACGGAUGACAAUUGUAGUAUAUGAGCAAAUAGGGAUCGUUCUAACCGGGGAUUAACUAGGGAUGCUAAUCAAUGUAAAACUGACUCAAGAACAUAAAAAUAUAAUGUAGAACACUAAACUAGACUCAAUUAAUGCAAAACUAGGGUUUAAAACACCUAAACAAACUAAAAACUCAAAACAGCAACUAAAAGGCUCAAAACUGCCUUAAAACCACUUUCUGGGCAGUUUUGAGUACCUAACACUAGUUUGGACGAAUUUGGACUAUGACUUGACUCAAAACACUUAAAAACACAACUAAAUGGAUUUCUAACUAAUCUAACACUUUAAAAUAAAUGGGGGAAUGAUUUUGACGAAAUUAAAACUUUAAAACUUAAACCUUGAAAACAAACUUAAAGCAAAACAGAUUGUGAUUAAAUAGAAUGGUGAGAAGCUAGUUAGAGGGUUCCUUAUCCACACAUGAACAUAUGCAUAUAAUUUGAUUCCCAGUUAUGACUUCAACAAACAAUGAAUGACAAUGCUUCAAGUUAAUUAGGUUCGCUUAAAUUAACUUUCAGAUUUCCCUAGAUUCAUUGGAUUGAAUGGGAUACGCAUUACAACCAAAUUAUUCCUCAUCAAAGCCCCUAACUAUGGAAUACGCAUGAUAGAGACAUUCAACAAAGAUCAUUAAGUUCAACGGAAAUCAUAAACAUCGACUAGGCAUUCAUAACUAUGGAAUACGCAUGUUAAUCCAACCUAGGGUUUACUUAAACA
rnacentral:lncRNA from 1 species